rnacentral:lncRNA from 1 species
GUUGAUUUAUUAAGACUGAGUUGACCAAAAUAUGGUAAAAUUCUACAUAUGUGAGCAGGUAAUGUUACAUGGGUAUGUCCACAUAGCCUAACAUAACUUCCAUUCUGAACAUACAACCAGCUCGUUUGGGAAUAAGAGGCUUCUUUUUAUCUCGCUAUGAAAGUCAAUGUCAUGUCCUUUGGUUUCAGGUCAGAAGAAUGAGGAAGGGACUGCCUGAACUUGACUUUCUGCUCUGAACAAAGGGUUCUCUUAAGGAAAAAACGUUUACACCUGUGGACACGUCCAGAUGGCAUUGAGAGGCCCACCUUCAUGAAAGGAACAUUCAGCAAUUCCAGGUUGCCAAGAUCUGUAGCAAAGGCAGGCUCUCCACCACCCAAUGCCUCCUAAGAAACCAUCUCUAGGGUAUCAGGUUAGCA